UACGUAGGGUGCAAGCGUUGUCCGGAAUUACUGGGCGUAAAGCGCACGUAGGCGGCUUUCUAAGUCGGGGGUGAAAUCCUGGAGCUCAACUCCAGAACUGCCUUCGAUACUGGAGAGCUCGAGUCCGGGAGAGGUGAGUGGAACUGCGAGUGUAGAGGUGAAAUUCGUAGAUAUUCGCAAGAACACCAGUGGCGAAGGCGGCUCACUGGCCCGGUACUGACGCUGAGGUGCGAAAGCGUGGGGAGCAAACAGG
rnacentral:rRNA from 1 species